rnacentral:rRNA from 1 species
GUUGUAUGGUCAAGUAAUGAAGCGCACAUGGUGGAUGCCUUGGCAGUCAGAGGCGAUGAAAGACGUGACAGCCUGCGAUAAGCUUCGGGGAGGCGGCAAUAUCCUG